CUACGGGCUGCAGCAGUGAGGAAUAUUGCACAAUGGGGGGAACCCUGAUGCAGCAACGCCGCGUGGAGGAUGACGCAUUUCGGUGUGUAAACUCCUUUUAUAUGUCAAGAAAAUGACGGUAGCAUAUGAAUAAGCACCGGCUAGCUCCGUGCCAGCAGCCGCGGUAAUACGGAGGGUGCAAGCGUUACUCGGAAUCACUGGGCGUAAAGGACGCGUAGGCGGGUUGGAAAGUCAGGUGUGAAAUCCUACAGCUUAACUGUAGAACUGCACUUGAAACUUCUAAUCUAGAGUAUGGGAGGGGGAGAUGGAAUUAGUGGUGUAGGGGUAAAAUCCGUAGAUAUCACUAGGAAUACCUAAAGCGAAGGCGAUCUCCUGGAACAUUACUGACGCUAAGGCGUGAAAGCGUGGGGAGCAAACAGGAUUAGAUACCCUAGUAGUC
rnacentral:rRNA from 1 species